GGUUAAGCGACUAAGCGUACACGGUGGAUGCCCUGGCAGUCAGAGGCGAUGAAGGACGUGCUAAUCUGCGAUAAGCGUCGGUAAGGUGAUAUGAACCGUUAUAACCGGCGAUUUCCGAAUGGGGAAACCCAGUGUGAUUCGUCACACUAUCAUUACGUGAAUACAUAGCGUAAUGAAGCGAACCGGGGGAACUGAAACAUCUAAGUACCCCGAGGAAAAGAAAUCAACCGAGAUUCCCCCAGUAGCGGCGAGCGAACGGGGAGCAGCCCAGAGUCUGAAUCAGCUUGUGUGUUAGUGGAACGGUCUGGAAAGUCCGACGGUACAGGGUGAUAGUCCCGUACACCAAAAUGCACAGGUUGUGAACUCGAAGAGUAGGGCGGGACACGUGGUAUCCUGUCUGAAUAUGGGGGGACCAUCCUCCAAGGCUAAAUACUCCUGACUGACCGAUAGUGAACCAGUACCGUGAGGGAAAGGCGAAAAGAACCCCGGCGAGGGGAGUGAAAAAGAACCUGAAACCGUGUACGUACAAGCAGUGGGAGCAUCCUUUUGGGUGUGACUGCGUACCUUUUGUAUAAUGGGUCAGCGACUUAUAUUCUGUAGCAAGGUUAACCGUAUAGGGGAGCCGAAGGGAAACCGAGUCUUAACUGGGCGUUAAGUUGCAGGGUAUAGACCCGAAACCCGGUGAUCUAGCCAUGGGCAGGUUGAAGGUUGGGUAACACUAACUGGAGGACCGAACCGACUAAUGUUGAAAAAUUAGCGGAUGACUUGUGGCUGGGGGUGAAAGGCCAAUCAAACCGGGAGAUAGCUGGUUCUCCCCGAAAGCUAUUUAGGUAGCGCCUCGUGAAUUCAUCUUCGGGGGUAGAGCACUGUUUCGGCUAGGGGGUCAUCCCGACUUACCAACCCGAUGCAAACUGCGAAUACCGAAGAAUGUUAUCACGGGAGACACACGGCGGGUGCUAACGUCCGUCGUGAAGAGGGAAACAACCCAGACCGCCAGCUAAGGUCCCAAAGUCAUGGUUAAGUGGGAAACGAUGUGGGAAGGCACAGACAGCCAGGAUGUUGGCUUAGAAGCAGCCAUCAUUUAAAGAAAGCGUAAUAGCUCACUGGUCGAGUCGGCCUGCGCGGAAGAUGUAACGGGGCUAAACCAUGCACCGAAGCUGCGGCAGCGACACUAUGUGUUGUUGGGUAGGGGAGCGUUCUGUAAGCCGUUGAAGGUGUAUCGUGAGGUAUGCUGGAGGUAUCAGAAGUGCGAAUGCUGACAUAAGUAACGAUAAUGCGGGUGAAAAACCCGCACGCCGGAAGACCAAGGGUUCCUGUCCAACGUUAAUCGGGGCAGGGUGAGUCGACCCCUAAGGCGAGGCCGAAAGGCGUAGUCGAUGGGAAACAGGUUAAUAUUCCUGUACUUGGUGUUACUGCGAAGGGGGGACGGAGAAGGCUAUGUUAGCCGGGCGACGGUUGUCCCGGUUUAAGCAUGUAGGCGGAGGUUCCAGGUAAAUCCGGUACCUUUUUAACGCUGAGGUGUGAUGACGAGGCACUACGGUGCUGAAGUAACAAAUGCCCUGCUUCCAGGAAAAGCCUCUAAGCAUCAGGUAACACGAAAUCGUACCCCAAACCGACACAGGUGGUCAGGUAGAGAAUACCAAGGCGCUUGAGAGAACUCGGGUGAAGGAACUAGGCAAAAUGGUGCCGUAACUUCGGGAGAAGGCACGCUGAUAUGUAGGUGAAGUGAUUUACUCAUGGAGCUGAAAUCAGUCGAAGAUACCAGCUGGCUGCAACUGUUUAUUAAAAACACAGCACUGUGCAAACACGAAAGUGGACGUAUACGGUGUGACGCCUGCCCGGUGCCGGAAGGUUAAUUGAUGGGGUUAUCCGUAAGGAGAAGCUCUUGAUCGAAGCCCCGGUAAACGGCGGCCGUAACUAUAACGGUCCUAAGGUAGCGAAAUUCCUUGUCGGGUAAGUUCCGACCUGCACGAAUGGCGUAAUGAUGGCCAGGCUGUCUCCACCCGAGACUCAGUGAAAUUGAACUCGCUGUGAAGAUGCAGUGUACCCGCGGCAAGACGGAAAGACCCCGUGAACCUUUACUAUAGCUUGACACUGAACACUGGUCCUUGAUGUGUAGGAUAGGUGGGAGGCUUUGAAGUGUGGACGCCAGUCUGCAUGGAGCCAUCCUUGAAAUACCACCCUUUAAUGGCUGGUGUUCUAACGUGGACCCGUUACCCGGGUUGCGGACAGUGUCUGGUGGGUAGUUUGACUGGGGCGGUCUCCUCCUAAAGAGUAACGGAGGAGCACGAAGGUUAGCUAAUCCUGGUCGGACAUCAGGAGGUUAGUGCAAAGGCAUAAGCUAGCUUGACUGCGAGAGUGACGGCUCGAGCAGGUGCGAAAGCAGGUCUUAGUGAUCCGGUGGUUCUGAAUGGAAGGGCCAUCGCUCAACGGAUAAAAGGUACUCCGGGGAUAACAGGCUGAUACCGCCCAAGAGUUCAUAUCGACGGCGGUGUUUGGCACCUCGAUGUCGGCUCAUCACAUCCUGGGGCUGAAGUAGGUCCCAAGGGUAUGGCUGUUCGCCAUUUAAAGUGGUACGCGAGCUGGGUUUAGAACGUCGUGAGACAGUUCGGUCCCUAUCUGCCGUGGGCGCUGGAGAAUUGAGGGGGGCUGCUCCUAGUACGAGAGGACCGGAGUGGACGCAUCACUGGUGUUCGGGUUGUCAUGCCAAUGGCAUUGCCCGGUAGCUAAAUGCGGAAGAGAUAAGUGCUGAAAGCAUCUAAGCACGAAACUUGCCCCGAGAUGAGUUCUCCCUGAGACUUUAAGUCUCCUGAAGGAACGUUGAAGACGACGACGUUGAUAGGUCGGGUGUGUAAGUGUAGCGAUACAUUGAGCUAACCGAUACUAAUGAACCGUGAGGCUUAACCUU
rnacentral:rRNA from 1 species